AGAAGGCAAAGUUAGUUAUUGCGAUGCUUGUACCUUGGUGUAAGGCACGAUUGGGAUCACGACCCUAGAUGUUGCCCCUGCAAAUAAAGGACUGAUCAUCAUCAAUAGGUUGAGGAUACUGCUGCGUUCAUAAAUUAUUUUGGCGAAGGCCCAGCAGCAAGAUACGAAACCAUUAUUGGAAUGUGCCACUAGUUGCUUGACAUUCAAAAGAAGAUUUCCACCUCUUCUGGAGACUACUACCACGAUGACAACUGGAGCAUUCGCCGCGCCAUAGAGCUCUUCCAAGCAGGGAUAAUAUCAUCGAUACAGACAAAGACGUGGUAUUGCUCAGGAAGAAAGAGAUAAUCUCUUGCUCAACAGGAAGUUGUGGCGAAGUAGCUUCCCUCAAUCGCCUCACCAUGGGAGUGUGGUUCACGCAAACGCCUAGUAGCAGCGAAAAUAUAAACAAGAACUUGGAAGAGUAUUGCAACAAGAGGUGGCAUAGGUGGCAUGCAAUCUUCUUGCAGAUUUAUUUUAGCAAUCAUUGGGUUUUUAUCUCAAUUUUUGGUGCCUUGCUCCUCUUGUUUGUUGGACAUGUUAGUUAUUUGAGAUAAUGCCUCUUGUUUGUUGGACAUGUUAGUUAUUUGAGAUAACGUGUUAAAUUCUCUGAGAACCAUUUGAUUUUC